GACGAACGCUGGCGGCGUGCUUAACACAUGCAAGUCGAACGGAAAGGCCCUGCUUUUGUGGGGUGCUCGAGUGGCGAACGGGUGAGUAACACGUUAGUAACCUGCCCUUUACUUUGGGAUAACUUCAGGAAACUGGGGCUAAUACCGGAUAGGAGCUCCUGCUGCAUGGUUGGGGUUGGAAAGUUUCGGCGGUUGGGGAUGGACUCGCGGCUUAUCAGCUUGUUGGUGGGGUAGUGGCUUACCAAGGCUUUGACGGGUAGCCGGCCUGAGAGGGUGACCGGCCACAGUGGGAAUGAGAUACGGCCCAGACUCCUACGGGAGGAAGCAGUGGGGAAUAUUGCACAAUGGGCGGAAGCCUGAUGCAGCAACGCCGCGUGCGGGAUGACGGCCUUAGGGUUGUAAACCGCUUUCGCCUGUGACGAAGCGUGAGUGACGGUAAUGGGUAAAGAAGAACCGGCUAACUACGUG
rnacentral:rRNA from 1 species